CAACUGUUUAUCAAAAACAUUGCUUCUAGAAAAACACAUUAAAAGUAUUACUCUGCCCUAUGAUAUAUAUUAUUAAAUGGCCGCGGUAUCCUGACCGUGCAAAGGUAGCAUAAUCACUUGUCUAUUAAUUGUAGACUGGAAUGAACGGGUCAAUGAAAUUUAAGCUGUCUCUAAUUAAUUAAAUAAAAAUUAGUCAUUAAGUGAAGAAACUUAAAUAAAAUUGAAAGACAAGAAGACCCUAUAGAGCUUUACUUUAACUUAAAAUCAUAAUUUUAAUUAUAGUUCGGUUGGGGCGACCAGGGAAAUAUCAUCUCUAAACACAUAGAAAAAUAUUUCAUUUAAAAUGACCCUUUUAAGAUCAUAAAAUUAAGCUACCUUAGGGAUAACAGGCUAAUUUUCCUUCAGAGACCUUAUUAACAGGAAAGAUUGGCACCUCGAUGUUGGCUUAGGAAAUCUAUGUGAUGCAGAAGUCACAUAAAGAAGGUUUGUUCAACCUUUAAUAUCCUACAUGAGCUGAGUUCAGACCGGCGUA
rnacentral:rRNA from 1 species